rnacentral:rRNA from 1 species
CAUGUAGGCGGCUUAAUAAGUCGAGCGUGAAAAUGCGGGGCUCAACCCCGUAUGGCGCUGGAAACUGUUAGGCUUGAGUGCAGGAGAGGAAAGGGGAAUUCCCAGUGUAGCAGUGAAAUGCGUAGAUAUUGGGAGGAACACCAGUGGCGAAGGCGCCUUUCUGGACUGUGUCUGACGCUGAGAUGCGAAAGCCAGGGUAGCGAACG